UCGCCUACGGGGGGCAGCAGUGGGGAAUAUUGCACAAUGGGGGAAACCCUGAUGCAGCAACGCCGCGUGAGUGAAGAAGUAUCUCGGUAUGUAAAGCUCUAUCAGCAGGGAAGAAAAUGACGGUACCUGACUAAGAAGCCCCGGCUAACUACGUGCCAGCAGCCGCGGUAAUACGUAGGGGGCAAGCGUUAUCCGGAUUUACUGGGUGUAAAGGGAGCGUAGACGGCGCUGCAAGUCCGGAGUGAAAGCCCACGG
rnacentral:rRNA from 1 species